rnacentral:rRNA from 1 species
CCUACGGGUGGCUGCAGUGGGGAAUAUUGGACAAUGGGGGCAACCCUGAUCCAGCCAUGCCGCGUGUGUGAAGAAGGCCCUCGGGUUGUAAAGCACUUUCAGUGAGGAAGAACGCCUGGUGGUUAAUACCCAUCAGGAAAGACAUCACUCACAGAAGAAGCACCGGCUAACUCCGUGCCAGCAGCCGCGGUAAUACGGAGGGUGCGAGCGUUAAUCGGAAUUACUGGGCGUAAAGCGCGCGUAGGUGGCUUGAUAAGCCGGUUGUGAAAGCCCCAGGCUCAACCUGGGAACGGCAUCCGGAACUGUCAAGCUAGAGUGCAGGAGAGGAAGGUAGAAUUCCCGGUGUAGCGGUGAAAUGCGUAGAGAUCGGGAGGAAUACCAGUGGCGAAGGCGGCCUUCUGGACUGACACUGACACUGAGGUGCGAAAGCGUGGGUAGCAAACAGGAUUAGAUACCCUAGUAGUC